CUUCACCGAGCCCAGCAACAGUGGACGGUCAGCCUCGCGACCCUGGCCGUAGGUGGCGAUCAGCGCCUGCGCCUC
rnacentral:antisense_RNA from 1 species